AGCAGGGGGCGUGCAACCCAUGAUUCUCAUCAUUGAUGUUUCUCGCUUCCUCGCUCUGAAAUCAAUAAAAAUAUGUUAAUAAAUAAAUAACCAGGCUUCCCUGCUCGUCUAUCUACAGAAGCCCCUCCCCUCUCCUCGGGCUCCACCAGCGCCGCUCUUUCUCCCUGCUCUUCGCGGUAGAACAGCGCAGUGAGGACUGACAUGUCCACCGCUCAGCUUCACCAACAUUUACUCCUCACCAACUUCUCGCGUGCAGCCUCCCCGUCUAGCUAUUUUGAAGCAAAUGCUCUACUUUGUAUCAUUCCGCUUGUAGCCACGUCAGCAUACGUCUCUAAAGAUUCAUUUCAGAACAACAGAGCCAGAGUCCAGAACGCAGCCAACGAGAGCCUGCGCGAGGAAAGCCAAGCGAUGUUCGCUGACGAUCCCGCAAGGAGCUCUAAAAACCACGGACGCAAACCCAGCGAUGACUCGGGCUGCCGGACCGUGAUUCUCUACACACGGAUGAAUCCCCGUCCUUGAUGCGACCCCCAGCCACGUCCACGUGCUCGGUGAUGAACCUGUUAAUGCGCUCAAGUCCAUCUGAAGUGUAAAUGCCAAAGGUGAAGCACGUGCGUAAAGAUUCCCCCUGCCUGUGAAUCCCUGCGAAUCCCGGCCACGGCUGAGAGCCACCGGCAAACAGCGCGGUGUUGACAUAAGGCUGAGAGGCCCUCGAGGUGGGGCGGGAACUCUAGAAACUACCUGAGAUAAUAAAGGAAAGUAAGAUGACAUAGCAUUUGAAAUGAAA